rnacentral:rRNA from 1 species
CGUUACAGGUUCUCGGUGUGCUUCUGCCAAAACCCAAAUUUUCUAUGGUUGACCUCGGAUCAGGUAGGGAUACCCGCUGAACUUAAGCAUAUCAAUAAGCGGAGGAAAAGAAACCAACAGGGAUUGCCCCAGUAACGGCGA